rnacentral:rRNA from 1 species
GACGAACGCUGGCGGCGUGCCUAAUACAUGCAAGUCGAGCGGUCCCUUCGGGGAUAGCGGCGGACGGGUGAGUAACACGUAGGCAACCUGCCUGUAAGACUGGGAUAACUAUCGGAAACGAUAGCUAAGACCGGAUAACUGGUUUUCUCGCAUGGGAGAAUCAUGAAACACGGAGCAAUCUGUGGCUUAUAGAUGGGCCUGCGGCGCAUUAGCUAGUUGGUGAGGUAACGGCUCACCAAGGCGACGAUGCGUAGCCGACCUGAGAGGGUGAACGGCCACACUGGGACUGAGACACGGCCCAGACUCCUACGGGAGGCAGCAGUAGGGAAUCUUCCGCAAUGGACGCAAGUCUGACGGAGCAACGCCGCGUGAGUGAUGAAGGUUUUCGGAUCGUAAAGCUCUGUUGCCCUAGACGAACAGCAGGGAGAGUAACUGCUCUCUGUGUGACGGUAUAGGAGAAGAAAGCCCCGGCUAACUACGUGCCAGCCGCCGCGGUAAGAC